UACGGAGGGGGCUAGCGUUGUUCGGAAUUACUGGGCGUAAAGCGCACGUAGGCGGUUUUGUAAGUUAGAGGUGAAAGCCCAGGGCUCAACCCUGGAAUUGCCUUUAAGACUGCAUCGCUUGAACAUCGGAGAGGUAAGUGGAAUUCCGAGUGUAGAGGUGAAAUCCGUAGAUAUUCGGAAGAACACCAGUGGCGAAGGCGACUUACUGGACGAUUGUUGACGCUGAGGUGCGAAAGCGUGGGGAGCAAACAGG
rnacentral:rRNA from 1 species